rnacentral:lncRNA from 1 species
AUACAUAUAGUUUCCACAUGCUGCUUGGCUGGUUAUCUGGUUCCAUUCUUCGUGUCAAAAGAGUCAAGAAACCAAGACAUUACUGUUCAUUGCAAGCAGCUGAAAUUCCUUCAGAGUUUUUGUGGAUUAAUUUCCAAGAUACAGUGUGUUGCAAUUAA